rnacentral:rRNA from 1 species
UACGUAGGAGGCGAACGUUAUUCGGAUUUACUGGGCGUAAAGGGAGCGUAGGCGGUUCCUUAAGUCAGGUGUGAAAACUUCUGGCUCAAUCAGAAGGCGUCAUUUGAUACUGAGGGACUUGAGAGCAGCAGAGGGAAAUGGAAUCCCCAGUGUAGCGGUGAAAUGCGUAGAUAUUGGGGAGAACACCAGUGGCGAAGGCGAUUUCCCAGGUUGUUUCUGACGCUGAGGCUCGAAAGCGUGGGGAGCGAAGCGGAUUAGAUACCCGCGUAGUCCACGCCCUAAACGGUGGACACUAGAUAUAGGGAGUAUCGACCCUUUCUGUGUCGAAGCUAACGCUUUAAGUGUCCCGCCUGGGGAGUACGGCCGCAAGGCUGAAACUCAAAGGAAUUGACGGGGGCCCGCACAAGCAGCGGAGCGUGUGGUUUAAUUCGAUGCUACGCGAAGAACCUUACCAGGGCUUGACAUGACAGAAGUAGGAAUCCGAAAGGACGACGACCUGUAUCCAAUCAGGAGCUGUCACAGGUGCUGCAUGGCUGUCGUCAGCUCGUGCCGUGAGGUGUUGGGUUAAGUCCCGCAACGAGCGCAACCCUUGUCCUAUGUUAAAUUCUCAUAGGAGACUGCCUUGUACAGCAAGGAGGAAGGAAAGGAUGACGUCAAGUCAGCAUGGCCUUUAUGUCCUGGGCUACACACACGCUACAAUGGGUGAUACAGAGGGUUGCCAAGGAGCGAUCCGGAGCUAAUCCCUAAAAAUCAUCCUCAGUUCGGAUUGCAGGCUGAAAUCGCCUGCAUGAAGGCGGAGUUGCUAGUAACCGCAGGUCAGCUACACUGCGGUGAAUACGUUCUCGGGCCU